ensembl:snoRNA
GGCCUCUCUCCCAUGGCGCUGUGGAGGCAGCUUUUCUCCUCAGCCAAGGCUGGAGGCCUAGACCAGACCGAGAGGUUCAUUGUCAGGGCUGCCAUGAGUUGGGCAGUCUUGUUUUCCUGCCUCUGACAUUU